AGACCACAUGGUCCCCAUUAAAGUGUUAUUAUUUUUUUUUCAUAAAUUGGAAAAUUAGAGAUUGGUUGCAAAAUUCUGUUUAUCGAUUAGUAUGGCUGGCAACAUAUCAGACAGACAUAAUUUAUCUGUUUUUCUCCGUAAUUUCUUAAUUAUUUUGACAUCUUGGAAAUUUGUCAUCCUGAUGGUAAGACGCAUCAAUUUUUAUCAAGCAGUAGCAGGAAUUGAUAGGCCUUUGUCUGCAUCCAUGGGGGAAUAUGCAGUUGCUACCAGGUUAUUUGAGAGAGACUCUCUUCAUCCUGCUGUUGAUUAUGGAGUAGCCAAAGCAUUAGUUAGACAAGUGGAAGUUAGUGAAUGGCGAUGAAAACGAAAACGAUUUCCAGCUUCUAUCACACACGGCCUUAGCAAUGGACACCAGCAUCAAAGUCCAAGAGCUUUAAUUGAUGCAUAUGGCAGUGACAAAAGCCAACAAAGUUCAAGCAGCAAGCCUUUGUUAGUUGAACCGCUGGAUAUAAAUGGUAUAGACAACAAGGUGUUGUCAACAUCAUGGCAGAAUACUGAAGAGGAGGAGUUUGAUUGGGAAGAUAUGAGUCCAACCUUAUGGUCUUCAACUACUGGUUUCUCCAGGGAAAGGCCUGUUGUUGCAGCUAAUGCAACACUGUCAGGGCAAGAUGCCAGGAAGGGAUGGUGUAUUAGAGAUGUAUGUAAUAUAAACCAGUUAUGUGUUUUCACCUACCAGUUUAAACUUUAGUAGGCAUAUUUGUUCAUGAAAAUUUUGAUGUAAUUUGGAAGGAAAUAAGACUUGCCAAUUCCUUGCUAAUAGAAUUGAAAUUUUAUUAA